UACGAAGGGGGCUAGCGUUGUUCGGAAUUACUGGGCGUAAAGCGUGCGCAGGCGGCUGCUCAAGUCAGGGGUGAAAGCCCAGAGCUCAACUCUGGAAUUGCCUUUGAGACUGAGUGGCUUGAGUACGGGAGAGGUGAGUGGAAUUCCCAGUGUAGAGGUGAAAUUCGUAGAUAUUGGGAAGAACACCGGUGGCGAAGGCGGCUCACUGGCCCGUAACUGACGCUGAGGCGCGAAAGCGUGGGGAGCAAACAGG
rnacentral:rRNA from 1 species